rnacentral:rRNA from 1 species
UUCUUCGGGAGUAGAGACCGGCGCACGGGUGCGUAACGCGUAUGCAAUCUACCUUUUACAGAGGGAUAGCCCAGAGAAAUUUGGAUUAAUACCUCAUAGUAUAAUAGCUCGGCAUCGAGCAAUUAUUAAAGUCACAACGGUAAAAGAUGAGCAUGCGUCCCAUUAGCUAGUUGGUAAGGUAACGGCUUACCAAGGCUACGAUGGGUAGGGGUCCUGAGAGGGAGAUCCCCCACACUGGUACUGAGACACGGACCAGACUCCUACGGGAGGCAGCAGUGAGGAAUAUUGGACAAUGGGCGCAAGCCUGAUCCAGCCAUGCCGCGUGCAGGAUGACGGUCCUAUGGAUUGUAAACUGCUUUUGUACAGGAAGAAACAGUUCUACGUGUAGAACCUUGACGGUACUGUAAGAAUAAGGAUCGGCUAACUCCGUGCCAGCAGCCGCGGUAAUACGGAGGAUCCAAGCGUUAUCCGGAAUCAUUGGGUUUAAAGGGUCCGUAGGCGGUUUAAUAAGUCAGUGGUGAAAGCCCAUCGCUCAACGGUGGAACGGCCAUUGAUACUGUUAAACUUGAAUUAUUAGGAAGUAACUAGAAUAUGUAGUGUAGCGGUGAAAUGCUUAGAGAUUACAUGGAAUACCAAUUGCGAAGGCAGGUUACUACUAAUUGAUUGACGCUGAUGGACGAAAGCGUGGGUAGCGAACAGGAUUAGAUACCCU